GAUGAAGAACGUAGCGAAAUGCGAUAAGUAAUGUGAAUUGCAGAAUUCAGUGAAUCAUCGAAUCUUUGAACGCACAUUGCGCCCGCCAGUAUUCUGGCGGGCAUGCCUGUCCGAGCGUCAUUUCAACCCUCGAACCCCUCCGGGGGGUCGGCGUUGGGGAUCGGCACUUACCUGCCGGCCCCGAAAUACAGUGGCGGUCUCGCCGCAGCCUCUCCUGCGCAGUAGUUUGCACACUCGCACCGGGAGCGAGGCGCGUCCACGGCCGUAAAACAACCCAAACUUCUGAAAUGUUGACCUCGGAUCAGGUAGGAAUACCCGCUGAACUUAAGCAUAUCAAUAAGCGGAGGA
rnacentral:misc_RNA from 1 species